AUGAUAUAUUGCUCACCAUUGUUUACUGUAACCUUGGUUACAAAUUGUCACCAGCUGCAAAUAUUUCGAGAAUUGAAAUAUAUAAUGCUUUGCAAUACAUUGUUCCAUGCAUAUUAAUAACAGCUUUAAUCUGUAUCAAUUAAAAACAUGUAUAGUGGGAUUUUGAUUAUGGCCAUAAGGGUGUAAGAUAUUCAUGCUUUGUGAACGGGGAACUUGAUAUUCAAAGUUCACUUAGAAUAGUAAAAUUUAUUUGUGUAUGUAAAUUUUCAAGGUCAAAAACAAAGAAUGUCUGUUUAUAUUAAACGCAUGUGUCACAUAUAAAUGCCUACUUAACUUUUAUAAUUAAUGUUAAUGAAAGUUAACUGCAUACAGGACUUAAUUCAUUUAUUCCACAUUCACAAAUUACAUUACGAUACAUAUUAUGAAGAAAAUAUGUUAAUUUCAUGCAUCCCAUUGAUAUUUUAAACCCUCAAUUAGUAAAUGGUUGUAAUGGUAGAAGAUUUAAUUCUUUUUUUUAAUAGAAAGACAGA
rnacentral:lncRNA from 1 species